UCAAGGUACUAAGGGCAUGCGGUGGAUGCCUUGGCGAUGGAAGGCGAUGAAGGGCGUGGUAAGCUGCGAUAAGCCUCGGGGAGCCGCAAACAGGCUUUGAUCCGGGGAUUCCCGAAUGGGGAAACCUGAUUGGUCGUAAGACCAGUCGCCGAAAGGUGCGAACCGGGGGAAGUGAAACAUCUCAGUACCCCGAGGAAAAGAAAUCAAACGAGAUUCCCUGAGUAGAGGCGAUCGAAAGGGGAAAAGCCUAAACCAGUGCGAUGUUCAAGCCCGUAGGCGUUGUUGCACUGGGGUUGUGGGACACAGUUGGGCGAGGCUACGGACUCGCCGGGGAGUUACAAAUCUUCUCCUUAGCUGAACCAUCUGGGAAGAUGGGCCGGAGAGGGUGACAGCCCCGUAAGCGAAAGGGAGAAGACUCCUUGAACUGUGUUCCCAAGUACCGCGGGACCCGGGAAAUCCUGCGGGAAUCUGGGGGGACCACCCUCCAAGGCUAAAUACUCUCCAUCGUCCGAUAGUGCACGAGUACCGUGAGGGAAAGGUGAAAAGAACCCCGGGAGGGGAGUGAAAUAGAACCUGAAACCGCAUGCCUACAAUAAGUCGGAGCCCGCAAGGGUGACGGCGUGCCUUUUGAUUAAUGAGUCCGCGAGUUGUCGUCAGUGGCAAGGUUAAGCCGGUAGAGGCGGAGCCGUAGCGAAAGCGAGUCCGAAUAGGGCGCAAGUCACUGGUGGCAGACCCGAAGCCGGGUGAGCUACCCCUGGGCAGGAUGAAGGUGGGCUAAACCCCACUGGAGGUCCGAACCGAUGGAUAGUGAAAAAUCCUCGGAUGACCUGGGGGUAGGAGUGAAAAGCUAACCGAACCCGGUGAUAGCUGGUUCUCCCCGAAACGCAUUGAGGUGCGGCCUCGAGUGGUCUGUGCAGGGGGUAGAGCACUGAUAGGGCUAGGGGGGUAACCUCCGAACCCUGUCAAACUCCGAAUCCCUGUACAUAAAACUCGGGAGGAAGUCUGUGGGGGAUAAGCUCCAUGGACAAAAGGGAAACAGCCCAGACCAUCGGCUAAGGGCCCAGAGAGAUGGCUAAGUGGGAAAGGAUGUGGUGCACCCCAGACAACUGGGAGGUUGGCUUAGAAGCAGCCAUCCUUUAAAGAGUGCGUAACAGCUCACCAGUCGAGGUGCACUGCGCCGAAGAUGUAACGGGGCUCAAGCCAUCCCCCGAAGCCAUGGGUCUGUACAUUAUGUACAGGCGGUAGGGGAGCUUUCCGCUGUAGGGUGAAGGUAGACCCGUGAGGGCUGCUGGACGAGGCGGAAGUGAGAAUGCGGACAUGAGUAUGCGAGAGGAGAGUGAGAAUCUCUCCCCCCGAAUGCCCAAGGGUACCUGGGGAAGGGUCGUCCUCCCAGGGUUAGCCGGUACCCUAAGGUGAACCCGAAAGGGAUAGCCGAAGGGAAGCUGGUUAAUAUUCCAGCGCCACCUGUAAUCGAGGUGCGAGGGGUGACGCAGAAGGGUAAACGCCGAGGGUAAGUGGCAUUCCCUUCCAAGCGGUUAGGGCGUUGAUGGGUGUAGGUAAAUCCGCACCCGGAGUCUGAGCCGUGAUGGGAAGGACCCGUGAGGGUCCAACGGCGUUGACCCCACGCUGCCAAGAAAAGCCUCGCGUACCGUUCGAGGUUGCAGGUGACCGUUCCGCAAACCGACACAGGUGGGCGAGCUGAGAAAGCUAAGGGGAGCGGGAUAACCCUCGCCAAGGAACUCGGCAAAUUAACCCCGUAACUUCGGGAGAAGGGGUGCCGCAGUAGGGUGAACUCAGGGGAAAGGGCAACCUGGAAACUGAGGAAGCCUGAAGCGGUCGCAGUGACAAGGCCCUAGCGACUGUUUACCAAAAACACAGGCCUCUGCAAACUCGUAAAGAGGAUGUAUAGGGGCUGACGCCUGCCCAGUGCCGGAAGGUUAAGGGGAGGGGUGAGGCCGCAAGGCGUAGCUCCAAACCGAAGCCCCGGUAAACGGCGGCCGUAACUAUAACGGUCCUAAGGUAGCGAAAUACCUUGCCAGGUAAGUUCUGGCCUGCAUGAAUGGCGUAACGACUGGGGCACUGUCUCGGCGAGGGACCCGGUGAAAUUUCAGUGUGGGUGAAGAUGCCCACAACCUGCGGCUAGACGGAAAGACCCCGUGGAGCUUUACUGCAACCUGGUAUUGGAUUCUGACACAUCGUGUACAGGAUAGGUGGGAGGCUGUGAACCCGGCUCGUCAGGGUCGGGGGAGCCGUCGGUGGGAUACCACCCUCGGUGUGUCGGAAUUCUAACCUGAACCUGUGAAGAGCAGGUUGGGAACAGUGCCAGGUGGGCAGUUUGACUGGGGCGGUCGCCUCCUAAAAUGUAACGGAGGCGCGCGAAGGUCGGCUCAGGUGGGUUGGAAAUCCACCGAAGAGUGUAAGGGCAUAAGCCGGCCUGACUGUGAGACCGACAGGUCGAGCAGAGACGAAAGUCGGCCCUAGUGACCCGGCGACUCCGAGUGGAAGGGUCGUCGACAACGGACAAAAGUUACCCCGGGGAUAACAGGCUAGUCUCGCCCGAGAGUUCACAUCGACGGCGAGGAUCGGCACCUCGAUGUCGGCUCAUCCCAUCCUGGGGCUGAAGCAGGUCCCAAGGGUUAGGCUGUCCGCCUAUUAAAGGGGUACGUGAGCUGGGUUCAGACCGUCGUAAGACAGGUCGGUCCCUAUCGGCCGCGGGCGCAGGAGGUUUGAGGGAGGUCUCCCCUUGUACGAGAGGACCGGGGAGAGUGGGCCUCUGGUGUACCGGCUGUCCUGCCAGGGGCAUACGCCGGGUAGCUAUGCCCAUAAGCGAUAACCGCUGAAGGCAUCUAAGCGGGAAGCGCGUCCCAAGAUUAGACCUCCCAUCCCAUAAGGGAGUAAGGCCGGUCCGAGAAUAGGACCUUGAUAGGCCGGUGGUGUAAGCAUCGUAAGGUGUUGAGCCAACCGGUACUAAUAGGCCGAGGCCUUGACCUU
rnacentral:rRNA from 1 species